rnacentral:misc_RNA from 1 species
AAGUCGUAACAAGGUUUCCGUAGGUGAACCUGCGGAAGGAUCAUUAACACGAAUCUUUUUAUUCUUUAUCCAAUAUUCAAACCAACCGUGAACUUAUCUCCUCCCUAUUUGUUUUGCAACAUUCAAAUAGGCUAACAAUUGUUAUUUAUUAUUAUAUCUUAUAACCCCAUUAUUUAUCUAUCUAUGAAUGUUUGUUGUGUAGUUAUAACUGUUCUAUUCAGUUGUCCACUCAAAUAACUCUAUAUACUAUUACACAACAAACCUAUGUGUAUUGUUGUGUUGUUUAUUGUAUCUUAUGAAACAAUUUAUUCUAUAUUAACAACUCUUAACAAUGGAUAUCUUGGUUCUC